ACAGCGCUCCUCCUUGACGCCGCGAGCAGGACCCUGUCUCACUGACCCCGUGCCCACGGCGGUCCUUGCCUGCUUCUAUUCUCCCGGUUUCCCCAGUCCCGAGUAUUGGAAAGCGAGAGCGAAAGCGAAAGCAUCCUAGUCGCCGGUAGGCUGGCCUGGGCCGGGCUGGAGAGGGAGCAGGAAAUAAAAACUCGGGUGUGGGAGGAGCUGGGACGCUGGCGGCAGAGCCACUGUGGCAGCUUGAGUCUCGCGCGCGCAGGAAGCGGAGGUGGAAGUUGGGGCGCAGGAAUGUGGCUGUCCCCGCCUGUAAAUCAUGGUUGGGGAGGAGUCGCGGAGGCACCAGGCUGGGGUCUGCAGCGCGCCAUCUGCUGCAGCACACAGGAGGCGCUGAGGCUAGUUGGAGACAGAGUCUCACUGUGUCACCCAGGCUGGAGUGAAGUGGCAUGAUCUUGGCUUACUGAAACCUCCAUCUCCCAGGUUCAAGCGAUUCUCAUGCCUCAGCCACUUGAGUAGCUGGGACUACAGGAUUUCGCCAUGUUCCCCAGGCUGGUCUCAAACUCCUGAACUCAGGCAGCCCGCCUACCUUGGCCUCCCAAAGUGCUAGGCUCACAGCCCAAAUGACCCUCCAAGACCCUCUGGAGGCACCCGCAGUGCUCCUUAAUUUGCAGCUCUACAGAAUGAGACCAGCGUGGCAGCCCCCUUUCAGGACAGCUCCCGAGACGAGACGCGAGAGCAGCCCCUAAAUCUCACCCAGCAAAGCCGUUUCUUCCUAACCGGGCUGGGGAGUGCCGCGCGCUGCCAGCAGAUGGCGACAGAGGAUUAGCCUGCGGAAACCGGCCUUUUUAUAGCCAACAAGAGCAAAAGCACACUGCAAUGUCCAAACGAAUUGCAGGCGUUUUCUGCUCCCUGAAGCCUGGGAAUUAAUUUAUAUACUCAGUCCCUUUUCCCUUGGCUGGCCAUUGAAGUAGUUGAACCACAGGAUUGGACUGUCCAGAAUCAUUAGCCAGAGUUCACUGUGAGUGGACGUCUUUUAGUUCUGCUUCAACGCUAUAACCAACCUUUACCAAAAGCAACAACAAAACAAAAAACUGCAGAAACCAAUGAGUUCUGUUCACAAAGGAUGGCUCCUCAUGUCAUCACACCGGCAAGGAAUGGACGAGCCUCUGAUUUUUCUCUUCUUGGCUGACUUUACAAGGUUGGAUGCAGUCCAUGAGGAUCAUGCAGCAAAGACAGAAAGUGCUGGAGAAGCCCAACCUGCAGGGCCUCACCUUUAGCUGGUUUGUGUGGUUCCACUUCAUGUAGCUGUUGGAACACCAGUCUCUCUAAUGUGCUCUAUGGGAUAGCUGUUACCUUCCACUAAUUUAUGUCUAAUACCUAUAAACCUAAAGUAUCUUUUUAAAAAUUUUAUUCCGUCUUUUUGGAGGAAAUUUUUGUGCAUGCCAGAUAUAGUGUCAAGCAUUGGGAUUGCUAAGAUGAACGUAACAUUGUCCUCACCACCCAUUAAGUCACAAUCUAGUAGAUGAGUAAAAGUAAAAAAAAAAAUUAAAAAAAGAGUUAUAACCAUAAUACAGAAGUGAACAGGUUGCAGUGGUAGCACAGAGAGGGCUUCAGGGAUGCUGUCACAGAGGUGGUAACAUUUGAGAUAUAGAUUCCAAAUUCAGAUGUGUUUGCUGUUGCAAAAUUCCAGGGUCUAUGUGCCCAGUUCCUGAACAUUCCAGUGAUAAUUUUUACCUAAAAUUUAGGUGGCAAAUGAAUCUUACUAUAACCACUUGGAACCACUGUGUUUCUGGUCCAUCUUGUGAGGCCCAUCUUUGGUUCAGAGGGAUGGAGGCAGAAGUCAUACGGCAGGUAAGCUCAAGCAGUGAUACAUGACAGGGCUUUCAGAACUGGGGCCAUGAAGAGCAGGCUUUAUUUGCAUGCUGUUUAAAAACAAGAUUUUACAACUGAUUUACCCUAUUAAACACUUCCAUGAAUAACUCAGUGGAGAUUUAUUUGCAAUAGUAGGAUCAGGUGAUUUGAAAUCUUUAGUGUGUGUGGUUGUAGCAGGAGGAGUACUGGGUUCCAGCAUUUAAUAAGAGGACCCAUGGUUUUAUGAAAAUGUCCAGAGAUAUAAUUUUGGUUAAGGUUAUACCUCAUCUUUGGUUGUACAGUUGUUUCUUUUAGUUUCAGUACAAUCUAAAACAGGAAAUGUCAAUUCACAUGGUCUGGUAGAGAAAGAAUGACUCUAAUGCUCUACUAUUCAGGUAGAAAUGAAGAAAGAAGGGUGAUCACUUCCAUGAGCACUGUAAGCCCUUGAAUGGGCUUAUAGGCAAAUACUUAUAGUUAAAAUAUGUAACUCCCAUUUUAGUAUUGGAUAGAAUACUGUCACAUUUUUUCUUAUUAAAUCUACAUUUUUACCAUCUUUCUUGAUUGAUUUUGCCAAUAAAAGUUCCUUACCUUUUUAUAAAAGUCAAAGAUUGACAUUCAUUUUUCUGUAGGAAAUUUUGUCUUGUAGAAAAAAUUAGAAGCCAAAGAUAAUAUAACCUUCCUCCAAAGAGACUUUACCAUUAAUUUUUGCAAGCAGCUGGGUGGGAGUCACUUGUAGUCCUAGAUUACAUUAACCUAAUUUAGAUUGAGGUGAUUUCAAAUUGACUUGUGUCCCUGUGAAGGCUGAGAUAUUUCUGGAACAUUUUUAUUCCUUGGGUACAACAACUUUUUACCCAUCCAAAAUCCUGUGGUGUUUAUUAGGUUUCCUACUAGCUGACAGGCUUUAAACUCUGACUUUUUCCUCCCUCAGCUUCACGAUUCGAACUCAAAUGUCUGGUCAGCUACUCAGCCAUCUCUUCCAAGCUGUCAGGUUUCCCUAAGGUAAGAGCCAUACUGAUAUGGUUUGGCUCUGUGUCCCCACCCAAAUCUCAUCUUGAAUUUUAAUCCCAAUAACCCCCAAGUGUCAAGGGGGGAAUCUGGUGGGAGGUGAUUGGAUCAUGGGGACAGUUUUGCCCAUGCUGUUCUCAUGAUAGUGAGUUCUCAUAAGAUAUGAUGGUUUUAUAAGGGGCUAUUCCCACUACACUUUUAUCUCUCCUGCCACCCUGUGAAGAAGGACAUAUUUUCUUCCCCUAAUUCCAUGAUUGUAAGUUUCCUGAGGCCCCCCAGCCAUGUGGAACUGUGAGUGAAUUAAACCUCUUUCCUUUAUAAAUUACCCAGUUUUGGGUAUUUCUUUGUAGCAGUGUAAAAACAGAUUAAUACAGGAAAUUGGUACCAGGAGUUUGGGGCACUGCCACAAAGAUACUUAAAAAUGUGGAAACCACUUCGGAACUGGGUAACAGGAAGAAGUUGGGACAGUUUGGAGGGCUCAGAAGACAGGAAGAUGUGGGAAAGUGUGGAACUUCCUAGAGACUUGCUGAAUGGUUUUGACCAAGAUGCUGAGAGUGAUAUGGACAACGAAGUACAGGCUGAGGUGUUCUUAUAUGGAGAUGAGGAACUUAUUUGAAACUGGAGCAAAUGUCACUCUUGCUAUGCUUUAGCAAAGAGACUGGAGGCAUUUUACCCCUGACCUAGAGAUCGGUGGAACUUUGAACUUUUAUUAGUCCAUUUUCAUACUGCUAUGAAGAAGUACCUGAGAUUGAGUAAUUUAUAAAGAAAAAGAGGUUUAAUGUACUCACAGUUCCACAUGGCAGAGGAGGCCUCACAAUCAUGGUGGAAGGUGAAGGAGGAGGAAAGCCGUGUCUUACAUGAUGGCAGUCAACAGAGCAUGUGCAGGGGAACUGCCCUUUAUAAAACCAUCAGGUCUUGUGAGACUUAUUCACUAUCACAAGAACAGCACAGGAAAAACCCACCCCCAUGAUUCAAUUACCUCCCACUGGGUCCCUCCCAGGACAUAUGGGGAUUAUGGGAGCUACAAUUCAAGAUGAGAUUUGGGUGGGGACAGAGCCACACCAUAUAAUUCCACCCCUGGUCCCUCCCAAAUCUCAUGUCCUUACAAUUCGAAACACAAUCAUCCCCUUCCAACCGUCUCCCAAAGUCUUAACUAAUUGCAGCAUUAAUACAAAAGUCCAAAUCCAGAGUCUCAUCUGAGACAAGGCAAGUCCCUUCCACCUAUGAGCCUGUAAAAUCAAAAGCAAGUCAGUUACUUCCUAGAUAUAAUGGGGGUAGAGGCUUUGGGUAAAUAUACCCAUUCCAAAUGGGAUAAAUUGCCAAAACAAAAGGGCCACAGCCCCCAUGCAAGUCCAAAAUCCAGCAGGGCAGUCAAAUCUUAAAGCUCCAAAAUAAGCUUUGACUAUAUGCCUCACAUCCAGGUCACACUGAUGCAAGAGGUGGGUUCCCAUGGUCCUGGGCAGCUCUGCCCCUGUGGCUUUGCAGGGUACAGCCCACUCCCCCUUCCCCGGCUGCUUUCAUGAGCUGGCAUGAAAAUGGACAUUGGGCAAACUCACAGUCUGGCAUGAAGCUUUUCCAGGAGCAUGGUGCAAGCUGUUGGUGGAUUUACCAUUCUGGCGUUUGGAGGAUGGUGGCCCUCUUCUCACAGCUACACUAGGCAGUGUCUCGGGGGGACUCUCUGUGGGGGCUACCACCUCACAUUUCCCUUCUGCACUGCCCUAGCAGAGGUUCUCCAUGAGGGCUCCACCCCUGCAGCAAACUUCUGCCUGGAUAUCCAGGCGUUUCCAUACAUCCUGUGAAAUCUAGGUGGAGGUUCCCAAACCUCAAUUCUUUACUUCUGUUCACCUGCAGGCCCAACACCAUGUGUAAGGCACCAAGGCUUGGGGCUUGCACCCUCUGAGUCAAUGGCCUGAGCUAUAUCUUGGCCCCUUUUAGCCACAGCUGGGACACAGGGCACCAAGUUCUAAGACUGCACAAAGCAGCAAGACCUGGGGUUUAGCCCAUGAAACCACUUUUUCCUUCUAGGCCUCUGGGCCUGUGAUGGGAGGGGCUGUCAUGCAGACCUCUGGCAUGCUCUGGAGACAUUUUCCCCAUUGUCUUGGUGAUUAACAUUUGGCUCCUUGUUACUUAUGCAGAUUUCUGCAGCUGGCUUAAAUUUACCCUCAGAAAAUGAGGUUUUAUCUUCUAUCACAUCGACGGGCUGCAAAUUUUCUGAACUUUUAUGAUCUGCUUCCCUUUUAAACAUAAGUUCCAAUUCCAAAUGAUAUCUUUGUGAAUGACUAAAACUGAAUGCUUUUAAGAGUACCCAAGUCACAUCUUGAAUGCUUUGGUGCUUAGAAAUUUCUUCUUCCAGAUACCCUAAAUCAUCUCUCUCAAGUUCAAAGUUCCACAGAUCUCUAGGGUGGGGCAAAAUGCCACCAGCCUCUUUGCUAAAGCAUAGCAAGAAUGACCUUUGCCCCAGUGCCCAAGUUCCUCAUCUCUGUCUGAGACCAUGUCAGCCUGGAAUUUAUUGUCGGUAUCACUAUCACAUUUUGGGCAAAGGCAUUCGACAAGUCUCUAUGAAGUUCCAAACUUUCCCACAUUUUCCUGUCUUCUUCUGAGCCCCCUAACCUUUUCCAACCUCUGCCUGUUACCCAGUUCCAAAGUUGCUUCCACAUUUUCAGGUAUGUUUACAGCAGCACCCCACUCUCUGUGAUACCAAUUUACUGUAUUAGUCCAUUUUCAUACUACUAUGAAGAAAUACCUGAGACUGGGUAAUUUAUAAAGAAAAAGGGGUUUAAUGGACUCAGAGUUCUACAUGGGUGGGGAGGACUCACAAUCAUGGUGGAAGAUGAAAGAGGAGCAAAGGCACAUCUUACAUGGCAGCAGGCAAGAGGGAGCAUGUGUAGGGGAACUCUCCUAUAUAACUAUCAGAUCUUGUGAGACUUAUUCACUAUUGCAAGAACAGCAUAGAAAAAACUCAUCCCCGUGAUUCAAUUACCACCCACUGGGUCCCUCCCAGGACAUGUGGGGAUUAUGGGAGCUACAGUUCAAGAUGAGAUUUGGGUGGGGACACAACCAAACCAUAUCAGAACUUGAGAGAGAUUAUUUGAAAUUGGAACAUAUGUUUAAAGGGAAGGAGAAUGUAAAAGUCUGGAAAAUUUGCAGCCUGACCAUAUGGUAGAAAAGAAAAACCCAUUUUCUGGGAAGAAACUCAAGCUAGCUACAGAAAUUUGCAUAAGUAACGAGAAGCCAAAUCUUAAUUGCCAAGACAAUGGGGAAAAUGUCUCCAGGGCAUGUCAGAGAACUUAGUGGCAGCUCCUCCCAUCACAAGCCUGGUUACACGGUUAGGUGGAAAAGACAAGUUGUAUGUAGAGAUCAUUAUCAGAAAUUGCUAAACUCUGUCAUCAAAAACUCUGUUGGAAUGGAUUUUAAAAUUUCUUAAUAAAAGAUGAAACAUGACUUUGGUUUAGUUUUUGAAGUGGUGCACUCUCC
rnacentral:lncRNA from 10 species